UUAAGCGGAUAGCCGACACUACGUCGUCUGAUCAAAGUGGUCAGAUGAGUAGGAGGGCGUGGCGGUCGAAUGGAAGCGUCGGUGCGAACCGGCGUGAAUCGGCCGCUAGUGCAGAUCUUGGUGGUAGUAGCAAAUAUUCAAGUGAGAUCCUUGAAGGACGAAGCGGGGAAGGGUUCCACGCGAACAUUGAUUGAGCGUGGGUGAGUCGUUCCUAAGCCGAGUGGUCAUAGCUAAUUACCGGCGAAAGGGAAGCAGGUUGACAUUCCUGCACGCGGAUGUGGAGGCGGUGACGCCGUAUUGAGGUGAUGACGUUGGCGGUGGCUCUGGGCAGAGUUUUCUUUUCUGUUUAACCGUUUGUGCGUGCUGUGUGGAAUCCGCUUGUCGGGAGAAACACGCGUGUACGGGCAUAGCGCCGGGGCUUUUCCGGCGUCCAGAUCGCCACCGACGACCCUUGAAAAAUUACCUACUGAAUUUUAUACAAUCCACGCCGCGGCGUACCGAUCACCGCAUCAGGUCCCCAAGGUGAACAGCCUCUGUCCAAUAUGAUUAAUGCAGGUAAGGGAAGUCGGCAAAUUAGACCCGUAACUUUGGGAAAAGGGUUGGCUCUAGUGCUGCGUGGGAGUGGUUGUCGUAUCUUUUGGCGCAUCGGCUGGGCUCUUAUUUUUGGUUGCGGAUUGUGUUUGCUCUCGGGUGAAUGUUUUUCUGCUUCUGGAAAUUCGGGCUCGGCUGGCGUGUCAGAGUGCGACGACGCCCACAGCAUGCAGCAGACUAGAACUGCAACGGGCAAAGGGAAUC
rnacentral:rRNA from 1 species